AUGAAUAUCCUAAGCUGGAACUGUCGGGGUGAGGGGAACCCCCGGACAGUUCGUGACCUUGUGAGCCUUGUGCAUGUUCACUCCCCUAGUAUCGUCUUUCUUUGUGAGACUAGGCAAUCAAAAAAUAAAAUGAAGAGAUAUCGUGCUCGGCUAGGUUUAAGUGGUUUUGAAGCUUUUGAUAGUGUUGGUCUUAGUGGUGGCCUUGCCUUGUAUUGGCAUGAGUCUUUG
rnacentral:rRNA from 1 species